rnacentral:rRNA from 1 species
AGGGUUUGAUCAUGGCUCAGGAUGAACGCUAGCGGCAGGCUUAACACAUGCAAGUCGAGGGGUAUAGUUCUUCGGAGCUAGAGACCGGCGCACGGGUGCGUAACGCGUAUGCAAUCUACCUUUUACAGAGGGAUAGCCCAGAGAAAUUUGGAUUAAUACCUCAUAGUAUGUGAGAAUCGCAUGGUUUUUCACAUUAAAGUCACAACGGUAAAAGAUGAGCAUGCGUCCCAUUAGCUUGUUGGUAAGGUAACGGCUUACCAAGGCAACGAUGGGUAGGGGUCCUGAGAGGGAGAUCCCCCACACUGGUACUGAGACACGGACCAGACUCCUACGGGAGGCAGCAGUGAGGAAUAUUGGACAAUGGGCGCAAGCCUGAUCCUGCCAUGCGCGUGCAGGAUGACGAUCCUAUGGAUUGUAAACUGCUUUU